GGCGAGACUGGUGGCGGUGGAGAGUGGAAUGUGGUUUUGAGGUGGUUUUCAGUGUUUGAGACAGUUGGCCUUCUCUGGAAGAAUCUCCGGAGACUGGGGCUUUCCUUGGCCGGGAGGUGUCUGAGGAAAAGGAGCUUGUAAGGGGUAGUAUCGGUCUCCCCCCUACGCCCCUCUUGCAGACAUCCUCCUGGGCUCUUAAAUCUCGCUACUCCUUCAUCCAUGUUCCAUGCUUACACCAGAGCCCAGAGAUUGGAGUGAUCACUCAUUCUGUUUCUGUUCUUCUGGCCCUUCUCCGCAGAGCAGCUUACACCCCACUCGCGUCCCCUUUCUAAUCCAAAUCUGGGCCUUGAGGGCUACGGUGGAUCAUUUGGAAAUCUGGUCUGUUUAUGAAAACUGGACAAGCUGGAGCCAGCUCCAGGUCCUGCUCAGUGAUGGCCACCUCAUCCUCCUGGCUCUGCAUCUGGUUCCAGUCCUCAUGGCUGCAGGGAGACAAGCACACGAGUUGAUUCCUCCUCGAAAAUGUGUGCAUGAGACAUAUCUGCAGCAUUCCUACCACCAGCAGCGCCUAACCAAAGAUACUACCAGGGCUCCAAUUCCUCUGGUAUCAACACAAUGUCCCCAAGGGCCACAUUCUUGGUACACCCAGCAGCAAAGCGCUGAUAACCAAGAAAACAAAGUCCCAGCUUUCAUGGGCAAGGCUGAGAUGAAGCAGAAUUAUGAGGGAUGGAACUCCUUGCUGUUUCCGUUUUGGGGUACACUCUGUGAUCUUGCUAGGGCUUGCUAGAUAAGGAAAGUAGGCAGAGAUUUGAAUUCAAUCAAGUAUACUGGCCUGUUCUUUUCCUGGGCACUCUGGAAGUGCAAGCUGUGCUGGUGUCUUGGAUACUAAGUGGGGAGAGGGGAGCAGACUAAGGGAGCUGUCAGUGCUUUGCCAAGUAGUCCAACAAAAUCACAUCUGGUUUUCAGAGGUCUCCUUAAGAUUAUGCUUUGGGUUAAAUGCCUCUUAACAGAAAACUAAAGUAAAAAGCUAGUGAAAUGUUGUAACUCUUCUUUUCAGGUACCAUAUUUAGAAGAAAGGCAUGUGACACAUUAUCGUAAACAUGAAACACUGAAAAUCCAGUAUUAAGCAUUUUUCCAACAGUAUGCAUAAAUUAUACGUCAUCUUUACAAUAGUUAAAGAAUUCCUCCACGUGCUAGAGAUACAAAACUAAGUAAGACAGCACCCAAGGCCUUUGAGGUCCUCAUAAUAUAGUGGGGGAGACAGAUACACAUCUGUGAUAGAAUUACAGUAAGUUCUCAAUGUCGAUAGGUUCUGCAACUUUAAGAUAAAUGACAUACAACAAAACCAAUUUUACCAUAGGCUAAUUGAUAUAAACAAGAAUUAACUUCCUAGGGCAUCUCGUCAAUGUUAUAAAGAAAUGACGUUGAACAAAAUGGCGUUAUUUGAGGAUCUCCUGUAGUUCGUUCAGUUUGAAGAAGUUAAGAAAGGAGAUGUCGUUCAGAUACAAAUUGUUUUGCUUUUUCUUGUACUACCCCCAUCUCAGAGAAGAGUAAACAAAGACCCAGUAACUUUGAAGAACUUAAAUCUGAAUCAGCAAUAAAAUUAUUUAGACCUCCUAA